GUGUGUUUGUUUAUAUCAGUAUAAAAUGUAAGACCAUUUACAGCCAUGUUUUCAUAUCUAAUGCACUGACACCUAGGUAGUUUUUCACGUCCCAAUUUUGGUCUGAUUUUUGGCCCUGAUAUUUUAUUAAAAAUGUAUUACUUAUGGGAUGGCUCAGAGCAAAAGUAUAAUGUUUUUGGAUUUAUCUGAGGUCGUCAUUAGGUCCAUCCUGGGGGGAAAUAUAUCUACAUUUACCUUUUCUUAUUGG